GCAGCAGUGGGGAAUAUUGGACAAUGGGCGCAAGCCUGAUCCAGCCAUACCGCGUGGGUGAAGAAGGCCUUCGGGUUGUAAAGCCCUUUUGUUGGGAAAGAAAAGCAUCCGGUUAAUACCCGGGUGUUCUGACGGUACCCAAAGAAUAAGCACCGGCUAACUUCGUGCCAGCAGCCGCGGUAAUACGAAGGGUGCAAGCGUUACUCGGAAUUACUGGGCGUAAAGCGUGCGUAGGUGGUGAUUUAAGUCCGUUGUGAAAGCCCUGGGCUCAACCUGGGAAUUGCAGUGGAUACUGGGUCACUAGAGUGUGGUAGAGGAUAGUGGAAUUUCCGGUGUAGCAGUGAAAUGCGUAGAGAUCGGAAGGAACA
rnacentral:rRNA from 1 species